CGACUCUCCGGUGGCGACUUCCUUUAAUAGUUUAAUGACAGAUGUAUAUCUAUUCUCUAUCCUUGUCUUCUUCUUCAUCCAUUUGAUUACGUAUGCAUUUCUGCAUAUAACACAGGGAGCUCUUGCUCUCGUGGUUUUUGUUUUCUAUUUUGAUCGCCAUUUCCUUCACAUUCAACUGGAUUCAUUGCAUCUAAGCAUUGUCGGGCCAUGGAAGAUUGACUCAGUCCUCCAACAACUUCCAAAAAUCAUCAUCAUGCACUACAAGAAUAGCAAGCUACGUUGACGACACCUAUCCCGACGCCGAUAGUCGUCGCUACAGGUCUACCUAUGCCGACGACAAGUUGUUGCCAUAGCUUUUGGAACGUUUGACCACUUUCUUUGACCGCUAUAUCUGUGCAGACGACAAGUCGUCGCCAUAGGUCCGGCGGGAACGACGAAAAUGUUGGCGGUAAUAUGAAAAUAUAUACCGACGACGUGUCGUCGGUAUAGGUAAGAAAAAAAGGAUUUUUUAUUUAUUUUUAUUCCAAGUGCCAGAAAAAGAAAACGACGUAGUUUUUAGACAUCCUAUACCGACGACAAGUCGUCGGGACAGGUUUUUUAAUUUACAUUUAUAUUUAUAUUCCAGGAUUAACUAAUACGUCGUCGUUUAUGUCGACCUUAUGCCGACAACAUGUCCUCGGCAUAGGGGUAUAUCCUAAAACAGAUACGCAGCUUUCUUUCAUUUGCACACAAUGAUUGUUUUCUGCACUUUCUCCUCCCAAGUGACGAAAUCGACUUCCCAACUUCAAUUUCCGGCGAUUUGUCGAAUCCAAGCAACCGGUGGUGAAGCUCCACCGAUCUAUUGAUUGCCUCACCUUCCACCACCUAGUGUUGCCGCCGGAAAUCACCACCAGCCACCACCUUGCUUCUUUGACUAGCAAAAAAAACAGAACAUCGGUUUAAUUCCAAAAGCAAGUAGCUCUCAACAAUUUGCCAAAAGGAUGGAAGAAGAAGGAGAAGGAGAAGAAGGAGAAGAAGAAGGAGAAGAAGAAGAAGAAGGAGAAGACGAUUAUGAUAAUGAUGAUUGAUGUUUUUUAGUAUUAUGAACAAUGUUAAUUAACUAUUUAUUGUAAUAUUAAACUUGAAUUUGAUGUUUUGAAUUUGAACAAUGGUACCUAGUUAAUGUAUUUCAAUUGAUAUA